rnacentral:rRNA from 1 species
CAAAAACAUAGCUUCUAGAAAUAAUUAGAAGUAAAAUCCUGCCCGGUGAAAGCAAUUUUAAACGGCCACAAUCGUGCUAAGGUAGCGUAAUCAGUUGUCCUUUUACUGAGGACUAGUAUGAAAGGAAAAACGAGGCUCAACUGUCUCUAUUAAAAAAAUAAAAAUUAGUUUUUAGAUGAAAAAAUCUAAAUGAAAUUAAAGGACGAAAAGACCCUAUAGAGUUUAAAUAUAAUUAUACUAUUCACAAAUUAAACAAAACGAAUAGGAUAAGUAUUUUAAUUGGGGCAACAUAGGAACAAGAAAUUUCCUUAUAGUAAACAUUUAACAUCAUAAAAAUAAAAAUCCUCAAAGAGAUAAAGAAAAACUACCUUAGGGAUAACAGCGUAAUUUUUCUAAAGAGACCUAAUCGAAAGAAAAGUUUGCGACCUCGAUGUUGGACUAAGGCAUCAAAAUGGUGAAGAAACUAUUAAAAGUAGGCCUGUUCGGCCUAAUAGCCUUACAUGA